rnacentral:rRNA from 1 species
AUUGAACGCUGGCGGCAGGCUUAACACAUGCAAGUCGAGCGAGCGGCGGACGGGUGAGUAAUGUCUGGGAAACUGCCUGAUGGAGGGGGAUAACUACUGGAAACGGUAGCUAAUACCGCAUACCAUCAGAUGUGCCCAGAUGGGAUUAGCUAGUAGGUGGGGUAACGGCUCACCUAGGCGACGAUCCCUAGCUGGUCUGAGAGGAUGACCGGCCACACGGGAACUGAGACCCGGUCCAUACUCCUACGGGAGGCAGCAGUGGGGAAUAUUGCACAAUGGGCGCAAGCCUGAUGCAGCCAUGCCGCGUGUAUGAAGAAGGCCUUCGGGUUGUAAAGUACUUUCAGCGGGGAGGCGUUACCCGCAGAAGAAGCACCGGCUAACUCCGUGCCAGCAGCCGCGGUAAUAC